CAGGUGCUCUCCAGCCUCGAGAUCUUGUUGCCUCUGGAAUUGUGAAGUUUGAACAUACAAUUCAAGUUUAGAUCUGAGCACAGCGUCAGAAGCAGGCUGCUGAGGAGACAGAGGGAAGCACAAUGGCUGUUCUUGGUUGCUGGCUUGAGUCCAGAAAUGGAGGACACAGCUGUCAGAGCUUUCUGCUUGGUUUGAAGAGGGAAUCCAGACCUUCGAGUGGGAGGACACGGGCCUGUGAUCCGGACCUUGAGGGGAGAAGGCACACCUUUAAUCUGGGCCAGACCUCCUACUGAUAUAAGGAAUAGCAGAAGGAAGCUUCUCUCUUGCCUUGCCAGCACGCCCAUCCCUUCACUGACAUUGGAGCCUAUGUCUUUGGGACUCCAGCAUAUACUGAAGACCAGCCGAGACAUCCAGCACUGUGGACUGAGCAACUAUUGGAUUCUGAAACUUUGUGUGUUCACAGCCAUUGUAACAGACUGCAGCCUGUAAGAUGUUUCAGUAAACCCCCUUUAUAUACAUAGAAAGAGAUUCAUUCUAGAUGUUCUGUUACUCUAAAGAACCCUGACUAAUAAAUACAGGAAACAAAGCAAGUAACUCCAAAAGUUGGUUUUACAUUCUCAGAAGAAAUAAGGCAGUUAGGUAGAGCUCAGUAAAGCUGAUCCUCAGGUAUGCACUCCUCGUCUAUGGGUAGAGAGGGCAUUUCAACAUGCAGCUUGCCUGCAAAGAGCAGAUAAUGUUCUCGACAGUUUUUAUAACACAAUCUAGCAUUUCAGGGAAAUCUACAAAUGUGCCAAAUAAUCAGAUUUCCCAUAGUAACUCAAAUAUGUGUCUUUGACCUACAUUAGGGCCAGUGACAAGAGGUCACUGUGUCUGUACAUGUAACUUAGUACUCAAAAAGCUGAGGCAGCCUGUGCUUCAUAGCAAGAUCCUAUCUCAAAAAUUUUUCUUUUGACAUUUGCAGACCAAAACCAAACAAAUGAACAAAAAAACUUCUUGGUGUAUAUAUGAUAUUUAUGAUAAAAAAACAGAACUAUAUAUAGAUGAUUGAGAUUAUAAAAACUCCUAAAAUAUUUCUGGUAACAAGGAAGGUCGCAUGGAUUAUUAGUUAAAAGUAUAUCAAACAUUGCUAACUUAAGAUAUGUAACUAUCUCAUCAUCUAUAAUUCUAUUUUGGAAAUGUGAAAAAUACAGACUAUCUAACUUUUGAGGUUUGUCAGAGGCCUACUUUUGUUGAGAAGAUGCUGUCAUGUUUGUGAGGACAGUUGUCUAUGUUGUAGAUGUUCUGGGAAGAGAGGUGCAGUUCUCUGGAACUGGGCGGUCACUUUAUAUGGCCUGAGUCAGAGGGUGUGAGACUAUCAGAAAUUGUUAAAUGUGAUUGAACUUUUUAAUGGCCAAGGCCCUAGGUGUGAUCUAUAGACAAAACACAACAGAACCAUAACAGGUUUAAAAACUACUGAACAAAUAAAUACUCAUGAAAUGCCCUGAGACCAUCAACAGUGAGAAGAUGCUCUGGGGCUUGGCCAAGAGAGCUUUGCUGUGGCAAGUGGUGAGUGGAGCUGCCAAGAGCCAAUGCUAUUAAAACCUUUUCUCCUCCUCUUCUUCUUUUCUUCUUCUCCCUCCUCCUCUUCCUCCUCU